rnacentral:rRNA from 1 species
UACGGAGGGUGCAAGCGUUAAUCGGAAUUACUGGGCGUAAAGCGUGCGCAGGCGGUUUUGUAAGUUUGUCGUGAAAGCCCCGGGCUCAACCUGGGAAUGGCGAUGAAGACUGCAAGGCUUGAAUCUGGCAGAGGGGGGUAGAAUUCCACGUGUAGCAGUGAAAUGCGUAGAGAUGUGGAGGAACACCGAUGGCGAAGGCAGCCCCCUGGGUCAAGAUUGACGCUCAUGCACGAAAGCGUGGGGAGCAAACAGG